UUUGUCCAAUUCUUCGUUCAAAAAGCCAAGAACCUGGACAGCUUGCCGUCACGACCCUCUAGUGGUAACACUGGGGGUUAGAAUCUCAACAAAGCUUUCGGAGGGGGCACGAUUCAACCCAUGACGCUUCAACCUGGAAUUUCCCACAGAAGUCAUUUUUUUCCUCAGAACUCUUUCUGAAAAUGCCCCCUCCCCACCCGCCCCACCCACCAUCCCUCAGACCUGGUGGCUGGAGCAGCUCCCUUUGGGAAAUGCUUCCUGUGGUGAACAGGAUGGAGCUCCCCAUGGGGACAGGGCCGUAGAGGAGGCCUCUAGGGCAGGAAGGGGAGUCCGGCGCCACCUGGGGCCCUGGCAAAGGAGGCGGCCGCAGAACGGGGACACAGGAGGGAGGAGGGUGGGGACCUGUUCAUCAAGCCCUCCCUUCCCAGGCCGUCCUGGGCCCAGGGGCUGCCUGGUGGCUUCAAAAUGCAGCCAGUGUGGGUUGGGCCGGGUUGGGUCCAGGAUGUCAAACUCCCAGGAACUCUGUCUGCCUCAUGACCUGGUGUGGAGGCCACCGCUGAGCAACGUCCAGUGUGUCCUGGUCACAUCUGGGCCCGCACCACCUCACAGGCUCCCGGUGCGAAGGAGUGGGCGGCCUUUUCAGAUUCGCCAGAGCUGGUUUGCGGAAGCUCCCAGAACAGACCACGGUCUGUAACAAGCUUACUUCCUGCCCAUGAAUUUUUCCCUCGACAGGGCUUACAAUUAAGUCCAUACCCCCGCCUCCCGCCUGGCUUUCACUUCCUUGCUUUUGGAGAGAAGAUGAAUGGAAAUGUAUGACUUUGUCUGUGGUAUAAAGACAUGGAUUCAAGUUCAGGGUUUGCCAUGGACCUGCCGUGUGACCUUUGUCAGGAAGGUCCACAGAAAACAUCCUGGGGUCCUGAGCUGAAGUGUGAUGGGAGGAGUCCUCUGUAUCUCAGUCUGAUCCUGGUCUCCCUCUCGGCCAUGGUCUCACACUAGUGCUGCUGGGAAACCAUCCCUCACAUCCAGUCCUGGCAUCGGGCAGUGACUCUGGUCCAACUGUUGUCCAACUCAAGGGUUUAGCUGCUUAGAUUUUCCUAAAACUUGAAUUUCAUUUUCCUCUAGCCAUGGAAUACAGAUUAAUCCUUUACAAUUAAAAUCCAAGUUCAGAUUUUAUUUGUUGUGGUUUUUAAUUAAAAU
rnacentral:lncRNA from 1 species